rnacentral:lncRNA from 1 species
AGACACACAACCAUCUAAGUGGUUUUUAUUUAAACAACACGUCUUAUUAAUUACUUAACAUAUAUAGUCUCCCUUAGAAGCAUCAGAUUGUGAAAGCAUUUGAUUUAGUCGCUGUCGCUAUCGCUGCUGCUUCCACUCUCAUUGCCGCUGCCAUGCCCAUCCUUGCUCUUCUUCUUCUUCUUGUGCUCAUUUUGCUUCUUAUGCUUCUUCUCUCCAUUGUUAAUGAACAUUCCUAGACCAUUAGUAACUUUGUUUGUCUCAUGAGUUUUCUUCUGGUGAUGUCCUAAGAGCUUUCCAUGUCCAUGGUCCUUGUUAGGCUCUUGGCUAUUGUGUUGCCCUAGAAACGCCCCUAGACCAGUCUGACCCUUCUGGCCAUUUUUACCCUUGAACAGCCCAUCAAGAAACCCACCGUGGCUACGGUGGUUCAUAGUCGGGCUAUUUCCAUAUACUGGGCGGCUCUGGAUCAGACCAUGACCCUGGUGGUUCUGGCCAUGUCCCUGGUGGCUCUGGUCAUAGCCUGGACGGCUCUGGACUUGAGUCACAUCGUAGUAUUCUUUUUCACGUGUUUCGUAGUACUGCAUGGUGGUAUAUAGAAGCGGUGAGUUUUAUG